GCCCCAAAUCAUAGCUCAGUCAGCAGAGCAUGAGACUCUUCAUCUGGGGGUCAUGGGUUUGAGCCCCACAUUGGGCA